rnacentral:rRNA from 1 species
UACAGAGGUCUCAAGCGUUGUUCGGAAUUACUGGGCGUAAAGGGCUCGUAGGUGGCCAAUUAAGUCAGACGUGAAAUCCCUCAGCUUAACUGGGGAACUGCGUCUGAGACUGGUGGGCUUGAGUGCAGGAGAGGAACGCGGAAUUCCAGGUGUAGCGGUGAAAUGCGUAGAUAUCUGGAGGAACACCGGUGGCGAAGGCGGCGUUCUGGACUGCAACUGACACUGAGGAACGAAAGCCAGGGGAGCAAACGGG